rnacentral:tRNA from 1 species
GCCUGGGUGGCUCAGUUGGUUGAGCGUCCGACUUCGGCUCGGGUCGUGAUCUCACGGUUCGUGAGUUCGAGCCCUGCAUUGGGCU